rnacentral:rRNA from 1 species
GAUGAACGCUGGCGGCGUGCCUAAUACAUGCAAGUCGAGCGAACAGACGAGAAGCUUGCUCCUCUGACGUUAGCGGCGGACGGGUGAGUAACACGUGGAUAACCUACCUAUAAGACUGGGAUAACUUCGGGAAACCGGAGCUAAUACCGGAUAAUAUAUUGAACCGCAUGGUUCAAUAGUGAAAGACGGUUUUGCUGUCACUUAUAGAUGGAUCCGCGCCGCAUUAGCUAGUUGGUAAGGUAACGGCUUACCAAGGCAACGAUGCGUAGCCGACCUGAGAGGGGGAUCGGCCACACUGGAACUGAGACACGGUCCAGACUCAUACGGGGGGCAGGAGUGGGGAAUCUUCCGAAAGGGGCGAAAGCCUGACGGAGCAACGCCGCGGGGGGGAUGAAGGUCUUCGGAUCGUAAAACUCUUUUAUUAGGGAAAAAAAAAUGUGUAAGUAACUAUGCCCGUCUUGACGGUACCUAAUGAGAAAGCCACGGCUAACUACGU